rnacentral:rRNA from 1 species
UGCAAGUCGAGCGGAUUUCACAUCUUCGGAUGUGGGGUUAGCGGCGGACGGGUGAGUAACACGUGGAAACAUGCCCUUUACUGUGGGAUAGUCACUGGAAACGGUGGAUAAUACCACAUACGCCCUACGGGGGAAAGAUUUAUCGGUAAAGGAUUGGUCCGCGUUGGAUUAGGUUGUUGGUGGGGUAAUGGCCUACCAAGCCGACGAUCCAUAGCUGGUCUGAGAGGACGAUCAGCCACACUGGGACUGAGAUACGGCCCAGACUCCUACGGGAGGCAGCAGUGAGGAAUAUUAGACAAUGGGGGAAACCCUGAUCUAGCCAUGCCGCGUGAUUGAUGAAGGCCUUAGGGUUGUAAAAAUCUUUCGCUAGGGAUGAUAAUGACAGUACCUAGUAAAGAAGCCCCGGCUAACUCCGUGCCAGCAGCCGCGGUAAUACGGAGGGGGCUAGCGUUGUUCGGAAUUACUGGGCGUAAAGCGCGCGUAGGCUGAUUACUCAUUCUGGGGUGAAAUCCCG